UGGGGAGGGUGCAGGCUGAUGGCUGUUGGGGAAACACAAGGAGCGGAGCACACAAUUCACGGAGGAAAGUGAAUUCUAGUUGAUUGUGCAGUACAACUGAACACGUGAUCCAGAGAAACAGGAAUUAAAAAUUCCCCGGCAUAAUGAAGCUGCUGACGUUUCAUUUGGAGGUGCUCACGGCAGUAGACACUAGUUCCUCGGCAUUUGAAGUAACCUUACAAUGAAGUGUGCCGUUUGUUACAGCUGAUUCACAAUGAAGAUCUAUCUUGUAUCCGAAGUUCAUUGGCCACAGGUGGAAGGACAAGAGCUGCUGGCAAAAAGAGGAAUCUUCCAGUGAUCCUUGCUGCAGUCUCGAGUACUUUGCAUUCUGUGCGCACACCUUGCGGCCAGGCUCUCCAGAUGUUCCUCAUCCUUGGAAGUUGAGCUCAGUCAACUGUUUUUCUAACUGUGAGACUCUCCAAGGUCUCUGUAGCCCCUUUUCCCUCCUGUCCUGCUAAC